GCAGACACAUUCCAGCCAAUCAGCAGCAGACUCUCCCUCCCAGACCCUUCCACCUCCUGGACAGCAUCCAUUUUACAUUCAUUGUGAAGCUGCAUUCUUAGUGAGCUGUCCAGGAGGUGGGAGGGUCUGGGAGGGAGGGUCUGCUGCUGAUUGGCUGGAAUGUGUCUG
rnacentral:miRNA from 1 species